UACUUGAGAACCGCGAAGAAAGAAGAAGCUCUCUUUUGGCUGCAAACGCUGAAGCUCUCUCUAGUUUCUAUAUCUUCCAGGGUGUGAUUUAGGUGAAAUGGCGCACAGGUUGCUGAGGAAUGUGGAGGCAGAUGGUUGGGAAAGGUCAGACUUCCCCAUCAUCUGUGAGUCUUGCCUGGGUGACAAUCCUUAUGUUCGCAUGACAAAAGCGGAUUACGACAAGGAGUGCAAGACUUGUACUCGGCCGUUUACUGUUUUCCGGUGGAGGCCUGGCCGUGAUGCCCGGUUCAAGAAGACUGAGAUUUGCCAGACGUGCAGUAAGUUGAAGAAUGUGUGUCAAGUUUGCAUCUUGGACCUCGAAUAUGGCUUGCCGGUGCAGGUUCGAGACACUGCUAUGGCUAUCAACUCCACGGAUGUGAUCCCCAAGAGUGAUGUCAAUAGGGAGUUUUUUGCCGUAGGAGCACGACCGAAAGGCUAGAGCUGGUAUAGAUUAUGAAUCUUCCUACGGGAAAGCUCGGCCCAGUGACACUAUUCUGAAGCUUCAAAGAACAGCACCCUAUUACAAAAGGAACAGAGCACAUGUCUGCAGUUUCUACAUUCGGGGUGAGUGCACAAGAGGCGCCGAGUGCCCUUACAGGCACGAAAUGCCCAUAACUGGGGAGUUGGCACAACAAAACAUUAAAGAUCGUUACUAUGGAGUCAAUGAUCCAGUCGCGAUGAAGCUACUGAACAAGGCUGGAGAGAUGCCUUCCCUAGAACCUCCCGAGGAUGAAAGCAUCAGAACCCUAUACGUGGGUGGGCUUGAUGAGAGAAUUACAGAGCAGGAUCUCAGGGAUAACUUUUAUGCUCAUGGUGAAAUAGAAUCUGUUAGGAUGGUACUCCAACGAGCUUGUGCUUUCGUAACCUACACAACAAGAGAGGGUGCAGAAAAGGCUGCAGAAGAACUCUCCAAUAAACUGGUAAUAAAGGGUUUGAGAUUGAAGUUAAUGUGGGGUAGGCCACAAGCACCAAAACAGGACUCAGACGGCACAGAUGAAGCUAGGCAGCAGGCAGUGGCUCAUAGUGGAUUGUUGCCUCGAGCAGUGAUAUCACAACAGCAGAACCAAAUACAAGACCAAUCUGCACCAGUCCAGCACUACUACAACAUGCCACCUCCACCAUCUUCACAUGAGAGGACAUUUUAUCCAUCAAUGGAUCCUCAAAGAAUGGGUGCUGUUGUUCGAUCACAAGAUGGAGCUCUAAAUGGGCCCACAGGGUCCGGUGAGAACAAAUCUGGUUCAGAGAGGCAACAUUAUGCUUUUCAAACCAUGGCACAACCACAGGGCCAUUAUUAUCAGCAGCAGUUUUAUCCUCCCCCUUAUGCAGGUUAUAUGCCUCCACCGCCAGCAGCUUACCAACAACAAUACCGUCCGCAAUAUCAUGCUGCAGUGCCUCCACAACAAUCAUUGCCAAUGAACACACAAUACCAGCAGCAUUCUGCGACACCCCCAGCUUCUACGUCAUCGGCACCAGCAGUUUCAAGUUCUGGACCUUCAGAGUCCGCACCAUCUGAAUCUGGAACAGCACCAACUGCAUCAUCACAGCAGUGACACCAACAGUCGUUGUAUUCGUGGAUGUAAUGGCAUCUAUGUUGGGGCAUUCCCUUUUUUCCACCUUUUUUUCCAAUUAAGGAUCAAUCCGUGUGUACCAGUCCCUUCAUUGUUGUCAAAAUAUUGUCCCUUCUUAUGAAUUCAAUGUGUACAUGUACAUCUAUGUUUCUUAUAUCAUAUUUCUGAAAGAGUUUUUG